rnacentral:rRNA from 1 species
UACGUAGGUGGCAAGCGUUGUCCGGAAUUAUUGGGCGUAAAGCGCGCGCAGGCGGUUCUUUAAGUCUGAUGUGAAAGCCCACGGCUCAACCGUGGAGGGUCAUUGGAAACUGGAGAACUUGAGUACAGAAGAGGAAAGCGGAAUUCCACGUGUAGCGGUGAAAUGCGUAGAGAUGUGGAGGAACACCAGUGGCGAAGGCGGCCUUCUGGUCUGUAACUGACGCUGAGGCGCGAAAGCGUGGGGAGCAAACAGG